UUGAAUUUAUCAUUAAGCAUUGAUUUCUCUAUAGGAUUGUUGUUGACUUUUGGAAGAUAUUGUACUGUAUAUUCAAGUUUUAAUUUCAGAUAUGAUAGCCAAUCGUUAGGCACUACAAUGAAAUAUUCUGAAAUUUUGUUAGGAACUAGUUGGAAGGUUAAUGAUACCUAGAUAUUGGAAAUGGUACACCAUAGAAUAAGAAGAUGGAUAAGAUUAAGACAAGGCUCACGUUAAUGGUGCUUUAACUAUUAAGCCAAGAGUUAGAUGGGUGAGAAUAAAAAAAUAAAUUAUUUUGUAGUGGAAUUCAGAGAAAUGUAAUAUGUGGAGCAGGUUAUGAUUAUUAGGGCAAUGAUAUUAUGAUGAAAUGUUGCAGUUUCUGGGUCUAAGGAAAUGCUUAUUGUAACAUGUUUUAUAAGGAGUUGGCAUAACAAUUAUUGAUGGUAAGAAGUAGAAGAGGAUGAGAUCAUAUUUGGAAAUUUAAAAGUUAGUAAGUUUGAUUUAUUAGUCAUACUACAAGGCACCCUGAUCCUAUUAAAUUGAAGUUUGGAAGUGAGGACAAACUAAUGUUGAAGUCAUGACUUGAUGAUUCCGUUGAAAGUGAUUGUUGACUGAGGAAUAUUAUUAGGACUUCAUGUUGAAAUGUACUUAAUUGCAUUGGGUUAAUAUAUAGUACAAAUUACUUUUGAGAUGUAAGGUCAAUAUAGAAAUCAAAACAUGAAUUAACUAUUAUAGGAUGAAAGGAUUGUGUUUAACAUGGGGUUUACCACAAUGUCAAAUUGAUAUUGUAGAAUGUACUUAAGUUGAAUAAACAUAGAGUUGAUUGAUUGAAAAUACUCUGGAAGAUUGCAGCUCAUGUUGGCAUAAGGAAAUGUAAUGGAAAAUAGGUGCUUCAUAUUUCUAUAUUAUUGGAGAAAGGAUAGAAAAACUUGGAAGGGAUAAUUUGUAGUAAGUAGUAUGAAAUCGCAAUAUGUGCAUUUAGAGUGAUAUAUUUCAUUAAACUUGGAUGAUGGCUUUAUAAUUUUGAGCAUUUUUACGGGUUAAGUUUCGAGGACGAAACUUUUAUGAGGAGGGGAGAAUCAGAUACCCAGAUCCCGAGAUGGGAGUUUUAAAAGAAAACCAAAGAAAUUAGAGAUGAAACUUGAAGACAUAGAAAAUUGAGGGACUCAAAUAGCAAAUAAAUAAAAGUUCUCUCCCACUCUUAUGUAUCAAUUGGACAUACACACAUUUGUCCAAUGUCUUUCUUUCCUUUUGUCUUUUCUUCUCUUUCCUUUCUUCCUCCUUUAUUUUUCUCCUCAAAAACACCAAAAUUUAGAGGUUCAAUUUGCCAUCGGUAGAAUGACGGUAUUGUGUAUGCGCCCCACCAUCUGAUUGCCCAUGACCUCAAGCACCUCCUCAUUGAAUUUCAUGUUUUUAGUCGUCGGAGUUGCCGGCAAUGGCCGGUCAAAUGUUCAGCGAGUACUAUUCACCGUAGUUUAAUAUUUUCAACUUUUCUCCCAAAAUAUUUAGAAUUUUGAAAACCAAAAAUAUUAAUUUGUUCAUUUUCUUAUGGGCUAUCUUCAGUUACAUUUUCAUGCUUUUGGAUGUAAGAUGAAUUUUUAAAAAUUAGUCAAAAUUUUCUAUUUUCUUGGAAUUUCAAGCCUUUGAUUUUAUUUGCCUAAAUUUAGUUUAUUGGAGGUUUAUUUAACUUCUCAAGACUACUAAACAUUGGUAUUCAUGAUUAGUUUCAUUUGAGUUUUUUGGGCUAUAGAUGAACUAUUUGGUUUGAUGCUUUAUGUAGUAUUGUUAUAACAUAUUAUAUUGAUUCUUGAUUUGUAUCUCUUAUUUGUUGAUGUUUCUCCUAGAAAUUUGAGGUUAUUUUGAUUGUUAGAAUUAAGUUAUGGGUCAUGUAUAUAGUUGUAGAGUUAGUGGUAGUUAACUUUGGGUUAAAUUUACUUAUUUUGCACCUGAAACUUGGUUGGAAAUGGAAAUUAGGAUUGCCUGGUUGGAAUAAUCCCUUGUAUAUUUUGGUAUUGAACUUAUAAUUAUACAUUGGACAUAGCAAAUAGAAUGGAUACUAGGUUUUCGUCUUAUAGGUGUGGGAAGCAAUUUUCUAUAUAUCUCAUUUCAUAGUUCUCAAGUUAAGUAAUUUGGAAUUGUUUAUAAAUGGGGAGGACAUGUACUACAAGGAUUAUUGGAGUUGAGUUGGCUAUUGGUUUGUUUGGCUAAGGUAAGUGAUUUUGGUACUCACUACAUUUCCAACUCAAGUUUUAUGAAUGAAAAUAGUUUCAACUGCUUAUGCCACAUGAAAUUCGGCAUGGGUGAGAAUACAUUUAUUGCUUUGACAUACGAAGAAUUAUGAUAAAGAUGAAUAUGAUUUGUUUCUGAAUUCUAAAUGUAAUGUAUGUUCUGCACUAUGAACUCAUGGUUUUUUGGUUACUAUCUAUAGAACUAGUUUCACCACAUCUGUCAGUUUGGACUACCUAGAGGAACAAAUAGUUAGAAACCUUUUGUCUGGCCUACUUGACGAGACAAAUAGUCAGAAUUGAAUAACCGGUUAUUGAUAGAGACCGAGAGUUCAUGAGCUUAUUGUAAUAAAUUGUUAAUUACUGAAUUUGUAUAAUUAUGUACUCAUAUGACAAUUUUGUUUUAAAUUUUAUUUUGAUAUUAGCUUACUCAUACUGAUAGAUAAGUACAUGAUCUACUUAUUGGGCAAGUGAUUUGUUCACUUCAUUUGUUAAUAUUUCUAGUGAAGGAUGGAUUUUACGGGAAUAUUUAUGAUCAGGUAUGGGAGCUUGUAAGGAAGACUAAAGACUUGUUUAGAUCAUUCUGUCUUUGGCUAUUUUGUUUGGUAACUUUUGUAUAUAGAAUUAGAUGAUGAUAGUGAAUGGUUGUAUUUUGUAUGGAAUAUUGAAUUUUGGGUUAUGCCAAUUGCUUGAGAUGUACUUGGUAGGAAGAUUUAGAAGUUAGUAAGUACAAAGAUUUAGUCAUUUGGUUUUGACUCUAGACAAGGUGAUGUUAUGUCCCGAUUUUGGGGCGUGACAUUGGAUUUUGGUUGAACUUUCUAUGAUUGUAUUGUGUUGAUUUCUUGGUUAUUUGAUCCUAUUAUUUUGAACAAGUUAUUUAGCCUUUUUACUCCUCUAAUAAUGAUUAACUUGGUACCAUUAAUUAUAAUUAUCUAAAGAUGAUGUUUUUUCAAUAAAAUUUGGGAGUUAACACUAAUUCAAGGAAGUGCUAAAUCUAGGGAAUAUACUCAUGAGAGUAAAGAUACACCUUUGUGACUUUAGUAAUUUAUUUCAUGUAAUUUCAUAGAAACUGACAUGUGCGGGGUAUACAUAUACAAUUAGCUCAUCCACAAUCAAGUUUUAUAUUUAUAGCAUACUAAAUACCCCACACGUGAUUUUCUGCAAGUAUACAGGUCGUGAGCGAGUAUAGGGUAUUAAGGGUCAAUCCCACAGAGAAGAUUUUCAAUUAUCGGUGAUUUUCGAACUCCUUUAUUAUUUAAACUAUAAGCAUGUAGUUAAAGUAAUAAAAUUAACACUAAAAAUCUCCUAAAUGUAUGGAAUUCCUUAUUACUCUCCCUAAUGAGAUUACUGGUUAAGUGAAUGCUAUUAUCUUGACUAGUUAUGGCAUAAUUUCCUAAUGUAUGUGAAACUUACUCUCGUAGUGAAUCAACUAUACUUAUAGCUAAACUAUACCUACUCUCAUGGUUAUGAAUUAACUACAAACUCAUUUUUUUUAUUAAAUUACAUGAAACAAAUCACUAAAUCCACAUAGAUGCACCUCUACUCUUAUGAGUGAACUCCCUAGAUUUAUCACUUCCUUGAACUAGUGUUAAAUUGCAAUUCUCAUUGCAAACUUAAUACCUUUAGAUUAUCACAAUUAAUGACCAGUUAAUCAUGAUUAGUGUGACGCCCGAGAGAAGAAGAAAGGAAAAAAAUUCUAGUGAACAGUGCUUUGUGGAGAAUCCGGCCGGAAAUCCGACCAGUUCUUGGCCGGAUACCUGGCUGGAUUGGCUUGGAGUUUUAAAAAUUUUUUGAUCAGCUACUGCCCUGUAUCCAGCCAGAAAUCCGGCCGGAUUGUGACGUGGCAUGUAUCCGGCCAGAAAUUCGGCCGAAAAUCUGGCCAGACUCCGACCGGAUUCUGACGUGUCACCUCCGCAACCAGGUUUGACCGGCUGUUUUUCUUUGUUCUUAUCUUGCUUUUGGCCCAAAAUAUCUUCCAUUCUUGCUCCCUCUUGGCCGAGCUUCAUGGAGAGAAAAGAAAGGAAACCUUCAAACUUUUUCUUCCACUCUUACUUAUAUCUUGUAAUCUAACCGUUAGGUUUGCAAAUUGCUCCAAUUCAUUUCAUAUCUAAGGUGAUUGCAAGCUAUUGAUGGAGUCUUUAGAGAAGGGGAAGUUCUAAGCUAUUAUCUCUCUUGAGUUUACAAGGGUUUCGACUUGAGCAAGGCAAUGAUGUAUGAUGGAUAAGGUUCGCGAGCCUGGUUGGGAUCGAGGCAAAUGAAGCUUUUGUAUUACGUUAUUUGUGUGACUGGAUGGCAUAUUUCUUGUACAGUUUAGAUUUGGAUUCAGUUUGUGUAAUAGUUGGGCUAGUAUGACCGUUUGGAAUUGAAGUGGGUGUAUGUGUACGUUCCACGCUUAGAAUUAGUUUCCACUUCGCUUAUGAUAUGUAAUUUUUGGAGAAGUUGUUAUAUUAUUUGCGUUGUGCCUUGUAAAGUUUUGAGGACUGCGAUUGUACUUGUAAUUAUGUGAGAACUGAGGACAUUUGUCUUAUUCGGGAAAUUUAUAUUGCUUUUAUAUCUUGAGGUUUUAGUUUGAAGUGUAA